CUACAGGGCUACUGGCAGGAGGACCGACCGGAGUGGAUAGUCGAGAGGGCCGUUCCCUCGCGGUCUUCCCCAGGGCCCCCGCACACCUGGGCAGAAGUGCUGGGGUCUGUGGGUGUGAGAGCGAUGCUCGAAAAGGCGCGCUCCAGGGCUAGGCUCCAGGGUGCGAAGGCUCGAGGCUGACGCUAGGGGGCAAGGAGAGGUGGCAGGGACAACAUCCGCGAGUGGGGACCCUCGGACCGCGGGAGUCUGGAGAAGUGCGGGCGCCGCGGACCUGUCACAGUAGAGACUGUACAGCGCGGAGGGAGGCGGGCUACGCCGAGCUUCCAGCUCCGCUGGCCCAGCUCGGGGCUCCGGGGAAAGGAGCAGCGGCGGCUCCGCCUCCUCGGCAUUGGGCGCGGCCUCCUCCUGCUCCCGCCCAGCAGAGACCACGAGUCCCAGGGCUCCCCUCCAAGGACAUCAGCAGCCGCCACGGCCCCGUGCUGACCCACUUUCCCUCCCGCCCGCCGAGCCCCAGGCAGAGAAUAAACAGGGCAGCCGAGCAGGAUAACAGAUCUGCCACUGGACAGAGGCUGCUGAGCUGAUGCUUCCCAGACAGCCUUGCUGUUGAGUGUGUUUUCAUGAUAGUAGUUACGAAGUUUUCAUGAAGUAGUUGGUGAGUAGUUCUCACCAAUGGAGUAAAGGAGACUUGAGGUGGAAGCCACGUUAGUGCCUGGGCCCCUCUCCAUGCUGCCUAGAGUCUGGCUGUGGCAGCAGCCCUUCUGGGAGGGAGCAGUGCCCUCAUGGUCAGUGAGCAACAGGAGGGAAGGAGUCUGGGGCCCUGAGUAGCCAUCAGGAGCCCAGCUGCUCCUCCUCUCAGAAUGGUAAUCUAGAAAGAAACUGCAGUGUGUAGUUUUAUGUGUUUACUUUGCUGGGCAGCAGUGCCCAGCUAUCUGGUUAGGCAUGAUUCUAGAUGUUUCUGUGAAGAUAUUUUUUUAGAUGAGCUUAACAAUUAAGUUAGCAGACUUUUACAUUUAAAGUAAAGCAGAUUGCACAUCAUAAUAUGGGUGGGCCGCACCCAAUCAGUUGAAAGUCUUAGAAGGAAAAAAAAGACAUCUCCUGAACAUGAAGGAAUUCCAACUGUAACUUCAACUCUUCCAGCUUUCUCUCUCUCUCCCUCUCUCUCUCUCUCUCUCACACACACACACACACACACAGACACCUAUACCUUAAAGUUCUUUGUCUUCAUAUGACUUUCUAGGAAUUUUGCAUAUUAAGCACUUUAUCCUUUAGAUGAUUAUUUGCAUGACAGAUAAUUUUUUGUUGUCAGUGUCUUAUCUCUUCAUUUUGUUUGGGGUGGCUUUCAUCCUAGAGAAUGUAUUAGUUACAACUCUUUUUUCAUUUUUUUUUUAUUUUAAUGGAAAUUAAUUUUUUUCUAGUCAAAUUUUUACCUUUUUUUUUUUUUUUU
rnacentral:lncRNA from 1 species